rnacentral:rRNA from 1 species
GACGAACGCUGGCGGCGUGCUUAACACAUGCAAGUCGAACGGAAAGGCCCUGCUUUUGUGGGGUGCUCGAGUGGCGAACGGGUGAGUAACACGUGAGUAACCUGCCCUUGACUUUGGGAUAACUUAAGGAAACUGGGGCUAAUACCGGAUAGGAGCUCCUGAUGCAUGGUGGGGGUUGGAAAGUUUCGGCGGUUGGGGAUGGACUCGCGGCUUAUCAGCCUGUUUGUGGGGUAGUGGCUUAACAAGCCUUUCACGGCUAGUCGGCCUGCAAGGGUGACCGGCCUCAUCUGGACUGAGCUACGGCCCAGCCUCCUACGGGCGGCAGCAGUGGGGAAUAUUGCCCCAUGGGCGUAAGCCAGAUGCAGCAACCCCGCGUGCGUAAUGACGGCCUUCGGGUUGUAACCCGCUUUCGACUGAUACGAAGCCUGAGUGACGUUAAUGAGUAAAGAAGCACCGGCUAACUACGUG